rnacentral:rRNA from 1 species
CAUUAUAGUAUAACUGAGAUUGCUAGGGCUGUCGCUGACCUUUUGAAAGAAAAGGUUGUGCACGCCCAAGUGCUCUCUCGCAUCCCAUAUUUUCACCCCUUUGUGCAUCACCGCGUGGGCUACCCUUUUUGACUUGUUCAGAAGGGGGCGUUCGCGUUUUUACAACACACCCCCUUUUUAAUGCAUGUAUAGAAUGUCUUGCUUUUUGCGAUCACACGCAAUAAAUACAACUUUCAACAACGGAUCUCUUGGCUCUCGCAUCGAUGAAGAACGCAGCGAAAUGCGAUACGUAAUGUGAAUUGCAGAAUUCAGUGAAUCAUCGAAUCUUUGAACGCACCUUGCGCCCCUUGGUAUUCCGAGGGGCACACCUGUUUGAGUGUCGUGAAACACCAUCAACCCUCUUGGUUUCUUGACUGGGAAGGAUUGGACUUUGGAGGUUUUUACCUUGCUGGUCUCUUUUGAAGCCAGCUCCUCCUAAAUGAAUUAGUGGGAUCUGCUUUGCUAACCCUUGACGUGAUAAGUAUGCUUCUAUGUCUUGGGUUUUGCACUGUUGCCUCAGAAACCUGCUUCCAACUGUCUUUGAAUAAAGACAAUGUUCAAGUUGUGACUUGACCUUAGAAACCUUGACCUCAAAUCAGGUGAGACUACCCGCUGAACUUAAGCAUAUCAAUAAGCGGAGGAAAAGAAACUAACAAGGAUUCCCCUAGUAACUGCGAGUGAAGCGGGAAAAGCUCAAAUUUAAAAUCUGGUGGCCUUUGGCUAUCCGAGUUGUAAUUUAGAGAAGCGUCUUCCGCGCUGGGCCGUGCACAAGUCUCCUGGAAUGGAGCGUCAUAGAGGGUGAGAAUCCCGUCUUUGGCACGGAACCCCAGGGCUUUUGUGAUGCGCUCUCGACGAGUCGAGUUGUUUGGGAAUGCAGCUCAAAAAGGGUGGUGAACUCCAUCUAAAGCUAAAUAUUGGCGAGAGACCGAUAGCGAACAAGUACCGUGAGGGAAAGAUGAAAAGCACUUUGGAAAGAGAGUGAAACAGUACGUGAAAUUGUUGAAAGGGAAACGCUUGAAGUCAGUCACGUUGACCGAGACUCAGCCUUGCCUUGGCUUGGUGUACUUCUCGGCUGACGGGUCAGCAUCAAUUUUAAUCCUUGGAUAAUGGCAAGGGAAAGGUAGCACCU